CUGAGUUCAGUUCAAAACUUGGGACACAAACAUUUUUGCGGCACAUUUCUUAACUACCUGGACCGCUCUAAACACAUUGGAUGAUCUGUUUGUUAACAUUUUAAACCUUGCUAGCAAACACAGAACACUGGGGUCCAAACUUGUGAUCUUUUUUUAAUAACUGAGAAGUUCCUUAAAGAAGAAUUGCACUUUUUUUGGAAUGUUGUUGUUAGGGCGCGAGCGCAGGCCGCCAUGCAUUCCGCCUCUCACUCUGCUAUGCACUCCGCUCAGCGCGCCUCGGAACACGCUCACGGGCAUUCCUCUCCUGCUGAUCAAAUCUAUCAACACACCUGACUCUGAUGAAACUCUUGCCAUCUUAAGCCGGCGUGUCCUGCGUUCCACGGCCAGAACGUAGCCCCCUGUAUGCGUUCCUCCGUUUACUGGUUUUGAGCUGUGUGUUUCAUCUCCCCGAAUUCCCUCUGGUUCCCUGGCCGCCUUCCUGGAUCUAAACCUCUCGCCUGGACACGGACCUUGACGCCUUGCUCCUGCCCCUGACCUCUUGCCUGCCCACAGACCUCCAAGCUUGCUUUGCCCUCCAUGGACUUCCACAUCUCGCUCAACAGGCACCUUCAACAACUCCUGGUAACACUUAUUUAAACACAACACAAAGUCCCACCAUACAUAUCUUGAUUUAUUACACAUGUCGUUGUAUUAUAUUAAUAAAUACACCAAGAGCUAAACAACA